rnacentral:rRNA from 1 species
AUGAACGCUAGCGGCAGGCCUAACACAUGCAAGUCGAGGGGCAUCACGAGGUAGCAAUACUUUGGUGGCGACCGGCGCACGGGUGCGUAACGCGUAUGUAACCUACCUAUAACAGGGGCAUAACACUGAGAAAUUGGUACUAAUUCCCCAUAAUAUUCGGAGAGGCAUCUCUCCGGGUUGAAAACUCCGGUGGUUAUAGAUGGACAUGCGUUGUAUUAGCUAGUUGGUGAGGUAACGGCUCACCAAGGCAACGAUACAUAGGGGGACUGAGAGGUUAACCCCCCACACUGGUACUGAGACACGGACCAGACUCCUACGGGAGGCAGCAGUGAGGAAUAUUGGUCAAUGGACGCAAGUCUGAACCAGCCAUGCCGCGUGCAGGAAGACGGCUCUAUGAGUUGUAAACUGCUUUUGUACGAGGGUAAACUCACCUACGUGUAGGUGACUGAAAGUAUCGUACGAAUAAGGAUCGGCUAACUCCGUGCCAGCAGCCGCGGUAAUACGGAGGAUUCAAGCGUUAUCCGGAUUUAUUGGGUUUAAAGGGUGCGUAGGCGGUUUGAUAAGUUAGAGGUGAAAUCCCGGGGCUUAACUCCGGAACUGCCUCUAAUACUGUUAGACUAGAGAGUAGUUGCGGUAGGCGGAAUGUAUGGUGUAGCGGUGAAAUGCUUAGAGAUCAUACAGAACACCGAUUGCGAAGGCAGCUUACCAAACUAUAUCUGACGUUGAGGCACGAAAGCGUGGGGAGCAAACAGGAUUAGAUACCCUGGUAGUCCACGCAGUAAACGAUGAUAACUCGUUGUCGGCGAUACACAGUCGGUGACUAAGCGAAAGCGAUAAGUUAUCCACCUGGGGAGUACGUUCGCAAGAAUGAAACUCAAAGGAAUUGACGGGGGCCCGCACAAGCGGUGGAGCAUGUGGUUUAAUUCGAAGCAACGCGAAGAACCUUACCAGGUCUUGACAUCGAUCUAAAGGCUCCAGAGAUGGAGAGAUAGUGAUAGAGAAGACAGGUGGUGCAUGGUUGUCGUCAGCUCGUGUCGUGAGAUGUUGGGUUAAGUCCCAUAACGAGCGCAACCCCUACCGUUAGUUGCCAUCAGGUCAAGCUGGGCACUCUGGCGGGACUGCCGGUGUAAGCCGAGAGGAAGGUGGGGAUGACGUCAAAUCAGCACGGCCCUUACGUCCGGGGCUACACACGUGUUACAAUGGUAGGUACAGAGGGUCGCUACCCCGCGAGGGGAUGCCAAUCUCGAAAGCCUAUCUCAGUUCGGAUUGGAGGCUGAAACCCGCCUCCAUGAAGUUGGAUUCGCUAGUAAUCGCGCAUCAGCCAUGGCGCGGUGAAUACGUUCCCGGGCCUUGUACACACCGCCCGUCAAGCCAUGGAAGCUGGGGGUGCCUGAAGUUCGUGACCGCAAGGAGCGACCUAGGGCAAAACCGGUAACUGGGGCU